rnacentral:rRNA from 1 species
AACGAACGCUGGCGGCAUGCCUAACACAUGCAAGUCGAACGAUACCUUCGGGUCUAGUGGCGCACGGGUGCGUAACGCGUGGGAACCUGCCCUUAGGUUCGGAAUAACUCCCCGAAAGGGGUCCUAAUACCGGAUAAUAUCUCCGGACCAAAGAUUUAUCGCCUUUGGAUGGGCCCGCGUUGGAUUAGCUAGUUGGUAGGGUAAAAGCCUACGAAGGCGACGAUCCAUAGCUGGUCUGAGAGGAUGAUCAGCCACACUGGGACUGAGACGCGGCCCAGACUCCUACGGGAGGCAGCAGUGGGGAAUAUUGGACAAUGGGCGAAAGCCUGAUCCAGCAAUGCCGCGUGAGUGAUGAAGGCCUUAGGGUUGUAAAGCUCUUUUACCCGGGAUGAUAAUGACAGUACCGGGAGAAUAAGCUCCGGCUAACUCCGUG